UGUUAUCCACUGCAGCCAGGCGCUGAGCUGGCUGUCUCUAUAUGUACAAGCUGCAGUGCAGGACACUAUUACACUGCUCCUGAGGCUCACCAGCAAUGAAUACCCUCGUCCUCUCCAGCCUCCUCGCUGUACUCCUCCUGACUGUAUCCUGGGCGCAAACCGCAGAGAGUUCAUGGAUUAAUUCGGACGUGGCGAUGUUGAAAGACAAUGAGACUUUCUGUAAGUGCAAGAGAAAGAGAAUGAAGCUGGGGUGGUGUCUCAAACCAAGAUAUCCAGUGGCCAUCCUGAGCUGAAAGCUGAUGUGCUGAUGACUGAAGACCCAGAAAAACCCUUGCUGCAGAUGCCAAAACCGCUGUGACUUGCUUUGACUGUGGGAUUGUCCUGUGUGUUCUCUCACUGACCUCAUGACCCUGUCUCUGAACUAACAUCACGUGACCAUAGCUGUUCCCUCUGCCAUUAACAUUUCCCAUGUCAGCUCCAAGUACUGUGUGUAAAAUCUGUCAGGAGUCGUCCCUUUACCCUGGGUCAGACACUCUAACAGGCUGGAUAUAAAGUGGACUUAGAUACUGAGUAAAGCUGUCUCUACUCUGUUAGACUUAAAGGAAAGCUCCUUCUGUCCCCCAUCCAUCACUCCCAGGGACAGGGACAGGGACAGGGACAGCACGGGGUUAGAUACAGGGUAAAGCUCCCUCAACACUGUCUC